rnacentral:rRNA from 1 species
AUAGUUUGGCAGCGAAUGAAUCCUAUCGGGGGAAGGUGUGUUGUAAAGGAUGAUCCGCCUAUUAAUUUACUCUUAUUAUGUUGGUGUAUAUCUAGUUUAAUAUUAUUGUCUAGUGACUUAAUUUGUGUAGAAUUUAGUUAAGCUAAGUCUAUGUGCUGCAUAUAGGAGUUUUCAUGCGUUACAUUUAUAAAGAGUUAGUUGUAAAGACUAAUUUAUUUAGGACUCG